GCUCCAAUAGCGUAUAUUAAAGUUGUUGCAGUUAAAAAGCUCGUAGUUGGAUUUCUGGCAGAGGAACUAGGCCGCAUGUUGCGUGUGCAAAGGUUCUCUACCAUCCUUCUGUUAACCUCCUAGUCAUUGAUUUAACUGUUGGGAGCCAGAUAUUACCUUGAGAAAAUUAGAGUGUUUCAGGCAGCUAGCGCCGGAUACAU
rnacentral:rRNA from 1 species